rnacentral:rRNA from 1 species
AGGCCAGUGAAUGGCAAGACUAGGAAUAUCUGUACUUUAUGUAUAAAAAAAACUUUUCUUCUAAGUGAAAAGACUUAGAUAAUAAAGGAAGACGAAAAGACCCCGCGGAACUUCACCUUUUCUUUAUACCUCUGCGUACCAAGCUUAAAAGUAUACAAGGUUUGAUUGGGGCAAUCUUGGAACCAAUAAAGCUUCCAAACUUUCAUAUAAAGAUAUAGAAAAUUUAUUAAGGACCAAAAAGUAGUUACCCCGGGGAUAACAGCGUAAUCCAACUUAAGAGUACACAUCGAAAGUUGGGUUUGCGACCUCGAUGUUGGCUUAAGGACAUCCACAUAAGUGCAACCGCUAUGAUAGGAUAGUCUGUUCGACUAU